rnacentral:lncRNA from 1 species
ACAGAGCACUGGCCAUAGAUUGCACAUCUAUUCCACUUGGAGGCACUAGAAUCCCUAGAAGGUGUGUCCACUAUUUUCCCAGUGGUGUAUGAAAGGCAGGCCAGCUCCUGAAGCCCAACGUUGUUCCUCAAGUUUUUUUUGCCUGGUCUGUAUCAAAAGACAGAAUCUUGAUGACUAAGACAUUUUCUUUGGAAAAUGUUAGUUCUAAAUGGCUGAUAUUGCCUGGAUUUGUUGAGGCCAGAGUUGCAGUGGCAAAUAAUCACCGAAUAAUCCUGAGGCUGGGUCAGGUGACAUAUUACAGAAGGCCAGUGGUGUGCUGUGUCCCUGGGAUAUUUGUGAAUAUUGCCACCUAAUUCAGAGCUUGCAGGUACAAGAGAGGGUAG